rnacentral:rRNA from 1 species
UUCUUUUAGAAAAGAUUAAAAGUAAUUUCUGCUCCAUGAAUUUAAAUAGCCGCAGCUUUCUGUGCUAAGGUAGCAUAAUCAAUUGUCUAUUAAUUGUAGACUAGAAUGAAGGAAGAUAUAAUUAAUAACUUUAUUCUUUAUAAAAAUUUAAAUUUAAAAUCAAAUAAAAAUGUUUGAGUAAAUAAUAGGGACAAGAAGACCCUAUAAAGCUUAAUAUAUUUUUUUAUUAAGUAAUGGAAAAUUAUGUUUAAUUGGGGAAAUUAAUUAUAAAUAAAAAAUAUAAAAAUAAUGACAUAGCUAAAUCUAAAAAUUUUGAUCCAUAAAUUAUGAAAAGUUGAAAAAGUUACUUUAGGGAUAACAGGAUAAUUUUAUUUGAAAAGUACAUAUUUAUAAAUAAGAUUAUUACCUCGAUGUUGAAUUAAUUUUAUUUUAUGGUGAAGAAGCUAUGGAAAAUUUAACUGUUCGUUAAUUAAAUAAUUACA